CACACACACACACACACACACACUUUCCCAAGCACCCCACUGGGCCCCAUUGCUUGUGGGCACCAGGCCCAUUAAUUCUGAACGGCUUCCUGAUACCUUGCAGCACAGGCCCUCUGCUGCGUCUGCACAGCGAAAGGCCCGGCAGGAGCCACGGAAGCGGAGAGGAAAGAGCUUGUCUGGCUGCAUAAUGGCACAUUACGAGAUCAAAGGCCCUCCAAAUCAGCGCUACCUGUGGAAACCCUCACCGGGUUGGUGGGAUGUGAGGCUCCAGGAAACAUCAGUGUGAGUGAAAGACGAAAAAAGAAGUCAGGAAACUGCCGGUCCUUGUUAACACUGGAGUAAUCAUACCGGAAAAUCCUCCUGAUCUCUUGGCACUUCUGUGAGAUGAGAAAUUCCAGCACAGCGGGGAGGAAUUUGGGGUCUUUUCUAGGGUUUGUAGACUGAGAAACAAAAAGUGGGCAGGAGGAAAGAAUUAAUAGUCCACCAUGCAAAACCAGCCAUGGGAUUGUCUACCUAUGCGAGAAGGAGCAUCAAGCAGAAAAACAACUGGCUUCAAAUGGUACAGAUAAUGCUUAAUAUAUCCUACAGCGUCUGGAUCUGGAAGGACUAUAUAUCUACAUGUAUAAGGACUAUGGGCAUAGUUGACCUUCAGCCAUACUUUUUGGGGUCUAGAACACAGACAGUUUCUUCAGUCAUUGUGUCUUCCAUUAUAUAUGUUUAAUUUAUCCGUGUUUCAUGAAGUUGUGUGUGUGUGAAUAGACGCUUAUACACGGUAUAUACACUA